UUACGGUCAAAUCACGCUGAAACACCGGUUCUCGUACGAUCACCGAAGUUAAGCAUCGUAGAGCCAGAUCAGUACUUAGAUGGGGGACCGCUUGGGAACACCUGGUACUGUAAG
rnacentral:rRNA from 1 species